GACGAACGCUGGCGGCGUGCUUAACACAUGCAAGUCGAACGGAAAGGCCUCUUUCGGGGGGUACUCGAGUGGCGAACGGGUGAGUAACACGUGAGUAACCUGCCCUUGACUUUGGGAUAACUUCAGGAAACUGGGGCUAAUACCGGAUAGGAGCUCCUGCUGCAUGGUGGGGGUUGGAAAGUUUCGGCGGUUGGGGAUGGACUCGCGGCUUAUCAGCUUGUUGGUGGGGUAGUGGCUUACCAAGGCUUUGACGGGUAGCCGGCCUGAGAGGGUGACCGGCCCCAAUGGGACUGAGAGACGGACCAGACUCCUACGGGAGGCAGCAGUGGGGAAUAUUGCACAAUGGGUGCGAGCCAGAUGCAGCGACGCCGGGGGCGGGAUGACGUCCUUAGGGUUGUGAAACGCUUUCGCUCAUGACGAAGCUUUGUGUGACGGUAGUGGGUAAAGAAGCACCGGCUAACUACGUG
rnacentral:rRNA from 1 species